rnacentral:lncRNA from 1 species
GAGGUUGGUGCGAAGGUGGGCAGCGCCUGGGUAUAACAAGAGAGGGUCUGCCUGCAGGUCUGAAAGGUUUGAGAUCACUGGACACAAAGAAACAAGGAGGAAAUUAUUCCCAAAUGAUAUAGACUGGUUUUGAUCCCAAGAGCAUUCCCUGAUAAAAGCCCUUCAUGCUGAACACUGUCUCUGAGUCUUCUCUCCAGGAAGCCAACCUACAACAGUUGGUACAAGAAGAGGUUCAGAAAAGCAUAUACAGGGAUGAAAUUUUGGAGAUGGAUAACCUGAUGCUUAGUGGCAGUGAGGACCCCAUCAUUCGUGGUAGAAGAAGUUACUUGCCUGCUGACCACAAGCACUCAGACCCAAGACAGUUUGGAACCAGAAGGUUGACGAUAUUGACUCCUGAUUACAUCACUACCAGCCAAUCAGAAGAAGGUCCACGAAACCUCCUCCCUCACCUUGUCUUUAAAAACCUUUCCCUAAAAGCCACUGGGGAGUUCAGGUCUUUUGAGCAUGAGCUGCCUGGACUUCUUGCUUGGUGUCCUGCAAUAAAUGCUGCAUUUUCCUUCACCACAACACAGUGUCGGUAG